rnacentral:rRNA from 1 species
ACUCCUACGGGAGGCAGCAGUGGGAAUCUUGGACAAUGGGGCACCCGUAGCAUCCAGCCAUGCCGCGUGAGUGAUGAAGGCCCUAGGGUCGUAAAGCUCUUUCGCCUGUGAAGAUAAUGACUGUAGCAGGUAAAGAAACCCGCGAUCAUCCGUGCCAGCAGCCGCGGUAAUACGGAGGGGGUUAGCGUUGUUCGGAAUUACUGGGCGUAAAGCGCGCGUA